AUCCAAUUAACUACGUCAAAUAAAAAAACCGGAUGGAGUACAUUAAUGAAAUGGAAUGUGAUUCCUGCGGUGCUCUGAGUGAGUGUUAAAGUGAAGAAAUUCAACAAGCACAAACAAAUGACAAAAGCAAGUAUUACUCCUUAAGGUUGCCAAAUGUCUCGUUGUCUAAUAAACGAUGCACAUAAAUAGAUUAACGAGAU
rnacentral:ncRNA from 1 species